rnacentral:lncRNA from 1 species
AUGCUUGAGACGCUGGUGGCCGGCGAGCUUGCUGCGUCCCGGAGGCGAGGCGGAGUGCGCGGUCCCGGGAUGUGGGUCCCUUCGCCCCAGACUAUGACAGAGGCUCCAUUCUCACCCGAGUACUACCUGGGUACCAGGAACCUUGCCAGCAGGAAAUCUGUGAAGAAAUACAAGGUGAAGUUAGUUUUGCUAAAGUGGAAGCAGAGGCUGGGAGUGGUGUAUACAGAGUGUGCAGGCCGGAGCUUUCAGGUACUGGGAGAUGAUGAGAGCCCUAAAAAUGCUCCAGUGCUUAGGAUGUACACUAGGUCACAGACACAUGAUGACUGCAGAGCUGGGGGAAGCUAAGGCUUCACAACCUUUCUGCCUUUGCUUUUCUGGGAUCCUGUUAUCUGUUUCAGAAUCCCAGAUGCUCUCCUGUCUCUCUCUUUGGAAUUAAGUCUACCCUUUGGUACCCCGAUGCUCUCCUUCACGGAUCCACAUGAAGACAACUUCUGAACCGCCCAGGUUGCAUGCUACAUUUACUUCUUUAUUGUCAUCGACAAGCUAACUGUGGUGGUUUGAAAGAAAAUGGCCCCCAAAGAGAGUGGCGCUAUUAGAAGGUGUGGCUUUUUUGGAGGAAGUGUGUAACUGUGGGGGUGGGCUUUGAGGUCUCUUUUGCUCAAGCUUCACUCAGCGUGACAGUCACUCCACUUUCUGCUGCCUUCUGGUCAAGAUGUAGCCAGCACCACAUCUGCCUGCAUGCAGCCAUGCUCCCAUCAUGAUGAUAAUGGACUAAGCCUCUGAAACUGUAAGACAACCCCUCAAUUAAAUGUUUUCUUUGUAAGAGAUGCAUGGUCAUGGUGUCUGUCCCUUCACAGCAAUAGAAAAAAAAAAACCUAAGUAACCUUAGCUUACUAUAACAUUUUACUCCAUACACUUUGUGAUUUUAAAAACUUUUUGUGAUAUUUAGCUUAAAACACAAGAUAUUUUAUAAAU